rnacentral:rRNA from 1 species
AACGAACGCUGGCGGCAGGCUUAACACAUGCAAGUCGAACGCCCCGCAAGGGGAGUGGCAGACGGUUGAGUAACACGUGGGAACGUGCCCUAAGGUUUGGAAUAUUCACGGGAAAAUGGGAGCAAUACCAAAUGUGUCCGAAAGGAGAAAGAUUUAUCGCCUUAGGAUCGGCCCGCGUCAGAUUAGGGCGUUGGUGGGGGAAAAGCCUACCAAGCCGAGGAUUUGUAGCUGGGCUGAGAGGACGACCAGCCACAGUGGGACUGAGACACGGCCCAGACUCCUACGGGAGGGAGCAGUGGGUAAUCUUGGACAAUGGGCGCAAGCCUGAUCCAGCCAUGCCGCGUGGGUGAUGAAGGCCCUAGGGUUGUAAAAUCCUUUCGUUGGGGACGAUAAUGACGGUACCCAAAGAAGAAGCUCCGGCUAACUCCGUGCCAGCCGCCGCCGUAAUAC